ACAACCUUAUUCCAAGCAAAAACUUUUCCAAUUGCGUGCCCGCAAUAACCCGGUGGUCAAAGUUAAUAAGAAAUAUAUUGCGAAGAGAUUUCCUUCCCUGUUUUUUUUUUCUUUUUUCCCCUUCGAACUUGGUGAUUUCCCGAUGCAGCGCAACUUCUUCUGCUCAUAACAUCAUACUUUCGCAUGGGUUGCUUUUGGCGCAAGACUUGUUUGUCAGACCAGCAUCGCACUUAUCGGGACGCCACGAGUCGUUUUAAUGCAGCCAAAUUCGAACUAAUUAUCUAACCUAUCUAAUUAGUGGAGGAUUUUAUUAGAUUAUGGAAUAUUUACUCUUCCCCGAAAUCAUCGGUGCACAUCUGAACGCGCCAGAGAGCCAACCCCAUUCCAUUAGGGCGCCCGGCUGAAAUCGUGGAACUUUCCCCAUUGUCGAUUACUUUCGGUCUUCCUCCGGCCGGGGUCCGUGGUUUUUCCGAUUCUCCCUCGUUCAGCGUUUUCCGUUCAUGGCGUCGGGUGUAUCUCAUAUACGAAUACCCGGCGCAGAACUAACACGUACCAAUUGGAUAAUGAGCGGUGGAAUAACCGCCGUUCUCGGAAGGAAACUGCUGACUUUCGUGGCCCUUCUUCUGAUGGGGGGGAUAAUUACGAUCAAUUAUUGAAACAAGAUUGAGGAGGCGUUGGCUCGGAAAAAAUGGUGCUCCGGAUUCGGAAAUGCCGUUUCGAUGUACAACACACGCAGUGAGGAUGAGACAAACUAGGUCAGAUGGAAUGGUCGUAAAUUGGGGGGAGGGUGGAUGAGUCCAAGACGAAUAUCAAUAUGCUCAUAAUGUGUGGCACAUUGUAUCGUAUUAAUGGAUAGGCUGGAAGAUAGAUAUCCAGAUCAGCUGAAUGAGAUUGGAGGCAAAUACAUUAUAUGUAAGUUAUGUUCACGCCAGCACAUUAUGUGGAAUCAAACGAAUGUGUUCCCGGAAAACUCCGAUAAAAUUUUCUCGGAAUGGUUCUAAAUAUCUCCGCACACAUUCGGCACUUCAUGCGAGCAACGAUACCAUACAAUUACUUACCAGCAUCAUUUGUAUACAUUGUUCCAACCGACACGCUCAACAUCCUGGGCAAAACUUGCAGUGUAGUGAACCAUCCCGAAGUUGCCGUUGAAUGCCUGAACGAGGCUUCCCAAAAGCGAAUAAAAAGCCAGGCAAAAGUUAAACCAGAGCUCAAAAACUCCGUGUCGGGUACGAGAGUGAAAAUCGAAAGUAUUUCUCUUGCCAUUCCUGGCCCUGGCCCAGGAUCCCUGCGGAAAGCGGGACGUUUGGAGGAUUCGCCUUUUUUUUUGCUGCUGUUGUUCCUGUGUGGAUGGGCAGAUAAUACGGGGUUGGUUGGCACAUGUGUACGAUGUUUGCUGGAAUUUCACCGUCGUUUCUAGACGACGUGUUUAUGCAUGUUGUCGUGCUUGUGGUUUGUCUGGCAAGCAAUCCUGACGUAUCAGUUUGUGUGUGUGAGUGUGUGAAUGUGUGUAUGCCAGAAUGAAUGUUUCCAUUUAUUUCAGUAUAUGUGUGAUUGUAUGUGGGCGGAACACGCGCCUCUUCCCAUGUGAUGAGGAGGGUAGUAAAAACUGCAACCGGGAAAAGUGAAAACUCAUCCUUCGCAUUCUUUUGGUGGCGGGCCGUUAAAAAACAAAGCUGCAUACGACUCCGUGCUCUCGACAUGAACGAGGAAAGGCAAAAUUUUCCGCCUCUUUGUUUCUCGAUUGGUGAGAGUUUUUAAAAUGUAUAGCACUUUGGCGUGGUUAGAUGUUUACCCGAUGUUUGGAAUAUGCUUUACAAUAAAUUGUCUGUGCUUACUGGAAGGAUCGUGCGGGUUACACCGUCGAAAUAACUGUGGGAUGUUGGCUUUUUUAGUUUCGGACUGGAGAUUCUUUCUGUGGCUAUCCCCACUCGUAAGCUGGCAUGAUCCCAGACUCGUAAUAUUUAUUUACCAAAAACCAUCCAAGUUAUGGGAUUGAAGGUAACGGCGAGUUUGUCGCUAAGAUUGGAAUCUUUCUUCAACACAUCAUCGACCGUAAAAAACUUAAGGGACACGAGAGAACAAAAUACGGAUGAAACGUGCUAAUUCUGCCGUCACUCUGCUAAUCAGCUAAUUCAAAUCAGAGCGAUGCAGCAGGAAGAGGAACGGGAACUUGCUUUGGAAAUGCUCAUCAAAUUGAGGUGGUUGAGGCUGCGAUUAAAAUUUGCCUCUUGUACGCAGUUUAUAGAAUGAUUCCAACGAGAAUUAUUGAUGUUGUUUAUAGAAUAAGUUAUUAGUAUAAUGUAUUCUAAGUAUGUAGAAUUAAACGCAAUCAAAUACAAUUUUUUAAAUUAAAAAUAAUCAUUAAAAAAUAUUGUCAUUAUCCCUGAUGAUUACUUCUCACAAAUAUGAAGCAAAAUUUUCACUGUUAUUGCACCAAUGUUGG